AAUUUGUUGUUCAAGACAGACAAGUUUUGACAGCAGUUAGUGAUCUCCGGAAAGAUGGGAAGCCAGCUGCUGCUGAUGCUGCUCCAACUCUUGCUCCUGCUCCUGCUCCUUCUCCUAUCUUUUGAAUUUAUCAGCCACCAUAAUUUCUGCUUCAUUUCCCUUUUAAAUAUUUUUAAUCUAUUUUAAUAUAGUUAAAACUUCUUUAAAUAGUUGAUUAUGUCUUUC
rnacentral:lncRNA from 1 species